rnacentral:tRNA from 1 species
UUUGUUGUAGUCUAGUUGGUUAGGAUACUUGGCUCUCACUUAAGAGACUCGGGUUCAAUUCCUAGUAAUGGAA